CUGGAUGGUAGUGUAUUGGACUACCAUGGCUUUCACGGGUAACGGGGAAUUAGGGUUCGAUUCCGGAGAAGGAGCCUGAGAAACGGCUACUACAUCUAAGGAAGGCAGCAGGCGCGUAAAUUACCCAAUCCUGACUCAGGGAGGUAGUGACAAGAUAUAACGACGCGACCAAAAUCGCGAUUGUAGUGAGGGUAUUCCAAAAAGAACCACUAGUACGAUUGGAGGGCAAGUCUGGUGCCAGCAGCCGCGGUAAUUCCAGCUCCAAUAGCGUAUAUUAAAGUUGUUGCAGUUAAAAAGCUCGUAGUUGGAUUUCAAGGUUCGCAAAACGCAAGUUUUGCUUCCUACCAGUCAUUGACUGUUACUGUGAGAAAAUUAGAGUGUUUCAAGCAGGCUGUUGCAGGAAUACAUUAGCAUGGAAUAACGAAUGUGUCUAGAAUCUUGGUUAAAUUCUAGAUUACGAUUAAUAGGGACAGUUGGGGGCAUUAGUAUUUAAUUGUCAGAGGUGAAAUUCUUGGAUUUGUUAAAGACUAACGUAUGCGAAAGCAUUUGCCAAGGAUGUUUUCAUUAAUCAAGAACGAAAGAUAGGGGAUCAAAGAMGAUCAGAUACCGUC
rnacentral:rRNA from 1 species